GUGCUCGCUUCGGCAGCACAUAUACUGAAAACGAAACGAUACAGAGAUUAGGAUGGCUCCUGCGCAAGGAUGACACGUAUAUUUGUGAAGCGUUCCAUUAUUUU
ensembl:snRNA U6 U6 spliceosomal RNA